AUUUGUAAAAGGCAAACCUAUUAAAAGAUGGGGACGCAAAGACACAGAUCUAAGGCAUUUUUGUUAUGAUGGCUGGUCUACCGAA
rnacentral:ncRNA from 1 species